GUAUCACUGAGAAUUUGCCAACUCUGCCCUCCCUGACUUCAACCAUCACUAAUUUCAAUUGAUAGUUCAGUGUACUCCUAAUACAGAUUUUCUGACUUUACCCUCAUCCUACAUGUAACCACUCCUGACUCAAUGUCUCCUACCCAGAAUAAGAACAAGAAAAUUAGCUGAGGGGAUAUAAUAAUCCUGUUAAGCUUGCCACGUACCAGUGCUUGGUACCAGGGAUUUGGGUCAAUACAACCAAACUACAAAGUUAACCAGAGAAGAGAGAAGAAGUGAUUUGUCAAAUGAGGAGCAAAUGAAAUGGAUUCAUCUAUUAGGAACAAAAACUGUCCAAACAUAAACUCUUACCGUCUCUCCUUUUACGUUUUGCCUGUGAUUAUACACCGAGAAACAAUGUCCUAGGGUUAUGCUGGAAUGUAUGGUUUGGAAAUACGGGAGAGUUCCUGGUGCAUGUCACAAGCUCAAGUCACAUUAAAUCUUCAUCCACAAAUAAAUGUGAUUCUGUUAAGCAGAAAGGAAGAAGUAGAGAUCUUAAAGGAGAAGGACAAAUAGGACAGUACUUAUAGGAUUGCAUUGAAGUCGAAAUUCAGACUGUACUCCUGAUUUUUGUUAGUAAGUAUGGAGAGCUAGAGAUUUUGAUACAAGCAUCAUCAAUGGCAGAUGAUUCCAAACAAUCUCAGAGAAGCCUCUAAAUGACCUAUUGAUAUUUGUAUAUUUUAGACAUCCUGCUUGGUACAGAGAAUA